rnacentral:rRNA from 1 species
UUAAUUUGACUCAACACGGGAAAACUUACCCGGCCCGGACACUGGGAGGAUUGACAGAUUGAGAGCUCUUUCUUGAUUCGGUGGAUGGUGGAGCAUGGGGGUCUUUCCCAGGGCU